GUUCUAAUCUUAGAAGCACAUAUACUAAAAUUAGAACCCUAUAGAGAUUUGGAUGGGUCCUGUACAAGGAUGAACACAAAUUAGUGAAGUAUUCCAUAUUUAU
ensembl:snRNA U6 U6 spliceosomal RNA